AUUGAACGCUGGCGGCCGGCCUAACACAUGCAAGUCGAACGAGUGGCGGACGGGUGAGUAAUGUCUGGGAACCUGCCUGAUGGAGGGGGAUAACUACUGGAAACGGUAGAUAAUACCGCAUACCAUCGGAUGUGCCCAGAGGGGAUUAGCUGGUAGGUGGGGUAACGGCUCACCGUGGCGACGAUCCCUAGCUGGUCUGAGAGGAUGACCAGCCACACUGGAACUGAUACACGGUCCAGACGCCUACGGGAGGCAGCAGUGGGUAAGAUUGCACAAUGGGCGCAAGCCUGAUGCAGCCAUGCCGCGUGUAUGAAGAAGGCCUUCGGGUUGUAAAGUACUUUCAGCGGGGAGGCGUUACCCGCAGAAGAAGCACCGGCUAACUCCGUGCCAGCAGCCGCGGUAAUUC
rnacentral:rRNA from 1 species